rnacentral:rRNA from 1 species
GAUGAACGCUGGCGGCGUGCCUAAUACAUGCAAGUCGAGCGAACAGACGAGGAGCUUGCUCCUCUGAAGUUAGCGGCGGACGGGUGAGUAACACGUGGAUAACCUACCUAUAAGACUGGGAUAACUUCGGGAAACCGGAGCUAAUACCGGAUAAUAUAUUGAACCGCAUGGUUCAAUAGUGAAAGACGGUUUUGCUGUCACUUAUAGAUGGAUCCGCGCCGCAUUAGCUAGUUGGUAAGGUAACGGCUUACCAAGGCGACGAUGCGUAGCCGACCUGAGAGGGUGAUCGGCCACACUGGAACUGAGACACGGUCCAGACUCCUACGGGAGGCAGCAGUAGGGAAUCUUCCGCAAUGGGCGAAAGCCUGACGGAGCAACGCCGCGUGAGUGAUGAAGGUUUUCGGAUCGUAAAACUCUGUUAUUAGGGAAGAACAAAUGUGUAAGUAACUAUGCACGUCUUGACGGUACCUAAUCAGAAAGCCACGGCUAACUACGUG